GCUAAACGGAGUGUGAAUCUCACCACCGCGGCGUGGAAAAGCUCGCGCGCCAGUCGCAACCGCACGCAAAAGACAAACAAAAAAGUAAAAACAAACACAGUAGGUUCUGGCUAAGUUGGUAUAUUUUGUGAGUAAAGAGACAUAAUCAGAACUUUUAAUUGUGUAUCAAAAGAAUUAAUCUAACUGUUUAUGCACAUUCACAAGUAAGAAAGCAAAACUAUUGGAUGCUCACCAUUGAGUGAGGGUGCAACAAGUGUAGCCAUACAGUAAGCGUUUGAUCUGCAUCUUCCGGUGUACACGGUUUAGUUUGGGUCCAAACAGCAUACAGCUUCAAUAUGGGACAUCUGCGAAACAAACAGCGUCGCCAUCAGGCCAAAGAGGCAGCAAUGCAGCGCGAGGAAAGGAUGCGCCGCUUA